rnacentral:rRNA from 1 species
AUUGAACGCUGGCGGCAGGCCUAACACAUGCAAGUCGAGCGGAUGAAGGGAGCUUGCUCCUGGAUUCAGCGGCGGACGGGUGAGUAAUGCCUAGGAAUCUGCCUGGUUGUGGGGGAUAACGUCCGGAAACGGGCGCUAAUACCGCAUACGUCCUGAGGGAGAAAGUGGGGGAUCUUCGGACCUCACGCUAUCAGAUGAGCCUAGGUCGGAUUAGCUAGUUGGUGGGGUAAAGGCCUACCAAGGCGACGAUCCGUAACUGGUCUGAGAGGAUGAUCAGGCACACUGGAGCGUGACAAGGGACAAUGCGCCUGAGGUAGGCAGCAGUGGGGAAUAUUGGACAGUAGGCGGGAACCUGAUACAGCCGUGCGACGUGUGUGAAGAAGGUCUUCGGAGUGUAAAGCACUUUAAGGUGGGAGAAAGGGCAGUAAGUUAAUACCUUGCUGGUUUGACGGUAACAACAGAAUAAGCACCGGCUAACUUCGUG